AGGGGGCUAGCGUUGUUCGGAAUUACUGGGCGUAAAGCGCGCGUAGGCGGAUCUGCAAGUCGGGGGUGAAAUCCCGAGGCUCAACCUCGGAACUGCCUUCGAUACUGCGGGUCUCGAGUCCGGGAGAGGUGAGUGGAAUUCCUAGUGUAGAGGUGAAAUUCGUAGAUAUUAGGAAGAACACCAGUGGCGAAGGCGGCUCACUGGCCCGGUACUGACGCUGAGGCGCGAAAGCGUGGGGAGCAAACAGG
rnacentral:rRNA from 1 species